rnacentral:rRNA from 1 species
GGUCCAAGGCAUGCCACCCUGAAUGCGUGCCAUCUCAUCUGAUCUCAGAUGCUAAACUGGGUUGGGCCUGGUCAGUACUUGGAUUU